GCCGGUUCUGAAGGGGAAACAACAAGGUGCAGCGCUGCCUUCGCUGAGGUGUAAAGAGCAAAUUGCAGGGAAAUGACGUUGUUUCUCAAAACGAGCAGCAAUGAAUGAUGAAUGAGGACAAAACCUUGGCUGCAGCCAUGAGCCCUGGGAAUAUUCUGCUCCCGGGGGUUUAUGGCGCCACUUUCGGCACCUCGACCCGGGACCAACUUGCAUUUUAUGGGCGCCCUGCGCCUGCAGCCUGCUGCCUCCAGGUAACACUUCCACACAACAGCGCGCAGCGUGUCUUUUGUGUGUCUUUUCCGUCCCUGCGGCGCGCCCUCGCAUUCGCUGCGCCGUUUAAUAACACCCGGAGACAGACACACGUCGCACCUUCGCACGGGACAGUGGCGGCUCGCGCACCAUUUGUACGCUCGGCGCGUGGACGAGUUGAACUUCAGGGCCACGUGAUGUCGACACGUCCCGCCGGCGCCUCAAAUGCUCCCGCGUGGCAGCGACCGGCCCGGCAUCACGUCUGAUGAUUUGUCUCCACUGAAUAGCCGCCGUGUCCACCCUUCCUUGCCUCCCAGUCCAGAUGACCUGAACAGGAUCGUGGCAGCAAUAGAAUAUUUGAGCGGCACUCCCGCGCGCUUCCUGCGGCGCGUUCCAGGCGGAGCGUGCCCGGGAUGCGGCCGGGAGCAGCGGAGGCACGCGCGGCUUCAAUUUGCAUCACAAUGGAAGAGCGCCAAAGACGAGCAACAGUUUGCAGAGCCGCCUUUGUCCGCGCGCGCCACCCAGUCCCCGCCCCCGCCGAGCGCGCGCUUUGCGGACACGCUUCUGCAGACGGACCUUGACGUGCGGCUCGCCGCAAGAGUGGGAAAAAGCUCCGCUUUUUGGCACACGCCACACUUGCGGACGAAUCAAUCAGUUGCAAGCUGAAAGUAACACCCAAAAAUACGGUAGCUAUAGUAUUGUAUUUUAAGCCUCAUGUCAUAAAAUGUUAACGUUAAAAUAAAGUUAUUAGAUGUUGUUCA
rnacentral:lncRNA from 1 species